ensembl:lncRNA
AUGGCCUUUCAGUGUGUGCCUCUGAACACAGGGGAAAGAAUUCCUCCAGGGUCACUGCAGGGAAUCCACCCCAUCUCCCCCCUGCCCUCUCAAUCCCGGAAUUCUCAGGUGAGGGGCACCUUCGAGGGCACAGCGCAACAGCCGGCUCUGCAGCCAGGGGCAGACAGCCUCCCCCUCUUUGGCAGAGAGACGCUGUUAGGAGCUGGCCCUUGCACUAGGCGGCAGAAAAGGGCCGCGCACCGCCCGCAGCCCGAGGCUGCCAGGCGCUGGGCAUGCCCCUUGGCGCAGAGGACUUUCAGCGCCCUGGAUAGACCGAAAGCGACGGAGACCAGUGGAGUAGCGGGGGUGGCCUCUGCUGUGGCCCCACUGCGCUGCCUGCCGCCUCUGAGGGUGGCUGGGAGCUGGGCAGUACAGUGGGUAGUGCGGGAGAGGGAGGAAGCCCCGAGCGCCCCAAAUCCUGCCGCGGCGCAAAGCUGGGGUCUCCUGCGAGGGGGCAGACUGCAGGAAGGGAAGGCGCGCGAGGCAGCAAGCCAGACGCCCCUAGGUCGGGCCGGGCAGGGCCUCCUUCGCCCUCCCGGCAGCAUGUUCCAAGUGAAGAGGGCCGACGUCAUCCCCAAAGCCGCCCCCCGCACCCUGGACCAGUUGGACUCAGUGCGGGGCGUCCUUAUGCACAGCUAAGAUGGUAGCAUCUGGCCUCGGGACCUUCUUCCUCUCUGCCCACCUCUCCCGGCAGAACAGUUAUAGAAGAUGUAGACCUCAGAAGAGCUCGUCUUACCCAACCCCCCACUUAUUUUUCUGAUGAGCAGACUGAGCCCCCCAAAGUGUGGGUGACCUGCCCAAGCUCGUCACGCAUUUUAGAAAGGCUGUCGGUAAGAGAAACGUUCCAAGGAGAGUCCCCAAGACUCCGGCUGGUAGCCGAGGAGGGACUCUGAAGGAAUGGGAAUGCUACACCUGUAGAAGAGAAGACUAGAGGGCCUGGGAAUAGCAGAUUCCAUAAUCCGUGACGUAGAUACAAGAUGAAAGCAAACCGAGAAUCAGAAAGGAGACGUGUUCAGGCAUUUCAGUCACGUCCAACGCUUUCUUUGUGGCUCAACGUGGGGUUUCCUUGGCAAAGACACCGGAGGAGUGUGCCAUUCCUUCUGAGCGAGGGCAGACUCGAGCCAAGGUGGUUAGUGUCUCAGGUCCGAGUUGGGUGCUCUCUGGCAACAGAGGAACUCUUACUCACCAUGAUUUCUCUCAGUUAUAAAAGAUUUCCCAAGUGGCCAAAGCUGCCAUUAAGCACAAUUUUAGCCGUGGGCCGGUACGUGUUUCUAUUUGUCUCUUCCUCCUUUCUUUUGUAGUUUUGGGUCAUUCAUGCACUGAUUUACCAAAUGUGUAUUAAGCACCUAUUUUGCACAAUUUCUGCCCCAAGUACUGUGAGAGAAGGAAAGUUUGUGAAAUGAACAGUCCCUGCCCUCGUGGAGCUUAGCAGAGAGCUAGAAUACACAUGCAGAAAUCACGGGUUAUUUUGUUUUGCCAUUAAGAGAAUCUGAGAACUAUGAAACAAAGGGUUACUUACAUGCAGACUGCUAUGUGGGGAAGAUCUCUAUUGACUGGGAAUAAUCACGGAAAGCUUCUUGGAGGAGGUGUCCUUUGAGUGGAUCUUUUCAGGAUGGGUAUCCAUCUCCUCCUCCAUGCCAAGAGUGUGCCACUUAAGUCACUGAUCAAAGUGUUAAGUAACCUGUCAGCCCAGGCCUCCAAGCUCCCUUCUGUUUCUAACUCAGCGGUCCCAGGAUCUGGCAUUUGGGAAGUCACCUCUUCGAGGGCAAUCUCUGUCAAGCAAUGAAUGAGAGCUAAAAAGCAUCCUUCUGGCUCUUGUACAGGGCCACCAGGAAACACUGUCAGUGGUUGGAGUGUUUGUGCCCUGGGCCUGUUCUGGAUGGGUUGAGCACCCUUUACAGACAAACCACUCAGUCUAGGGGCAUUGUUCACGGGAGAAAAAGGAUCAGGUUGCAUGCUGUGAUGGGGAAGAUAUCUGUAAAGCCCAGCAGAGAUAAUAAACUUGCCUCCAGGGCAGAGAUUGCCUCUCUA